GAUGAACGCUGGCGGCGUGCCUAAUACAUGCAAGUAGAACGCUGAAGGAGGAGCUUGCUCUUCUGGAUGAGUUGCGAACGGGUGAGUAACGCGUAGGUAACCUGCCUGGUAGCGGGGGAUAACUAUUGGAAACGAUAGCUAAUACCGCAUGACAACAGUUAUUGCAUGAUAACUGUUUAAAAGGGGCAACUGCUCCACUACCAGAUGGACCUGCGUUGUAUUAGCUAGUUGGUGAGGUAACGGCUCACCAAGGCGACGAUACAUAGCCGACCUGAGAGGGUGAUCGGCCACACUGGGACUGAGACACGGCCCAGACUCCUACGGGAGGCAGCAGUAGGGAAUCUUCGGAAAUGGACGGAAGUCUGACCGAGCAACGCCGCGUGAGUGAAGAAGGUUUUCGGAUCGUAAAGCUCUGUUGUAAGAGAAGAACGAGUGUGAGAGUGGAAAGUUCACACUGUGACGGUAUCUUACCAGAAAGGGACGGCUAACUACGUG
rnacentral:rRNA from 1 species